rnacentral:lncRNA from 1 species
GGUGGGGGCGGUGGUGGAGGUGGUGGUGCAGAUGGGUCAAGCGGAUCUGGAGCCGGAGAUGGUGCUGGCAAAGGAGAAGGUGAGAGUGGCAUAGCAACCGCCCCUGCUGUAGCUCCUUCUGCUGGUGGUGUCAGCUACUCUGAUGCUGGCGGUGCUGGCACUGGCGGUGGUGGCGGCGACGGCGGAAAUGGAGGUGGUAAUGGUGCUGGAGGUGGACAGGCCGCCAGCGAUGACACUUCAGGAGGCAAUGCCAGUGGAAGUGGCAGCGGCAACGGUGGUGGCCAAGGCGGAGGCGUAGCUCAAGGUCCAAGCAUGGGAGUUGGUUCUGGCUCAGGNGGAAAUGGAGGUGGUAAUGGUGCUGGAGGUGGACAGGCCGCCAGCGAUGACACUUCGGGAGGCAAUGCGAGUGGAAGUGGCAGCGGCAACGGUGGUGGCCAAGGCGGAGGCGUAGCUCAAGGUCCAAGCAUGGGAGUUGGUUCUGGCUCAGGCAUUGGGGGCGGACAGACUGGUAGCACUGGUUCCUACGGUCAAGGCUAUGCCACUGGAACUGGUGCUGGAACGGGNUGGUGGCCAAGGCGGAGGCGUAGCUCAAGGUCCAAGCAUGGGAGUUGGUUCUGGCUCAGGCAUUGGGGGCGGACAGACUGGUAGCACUGGUUCCUACGGUCAAGGCUAUGCCACUGGAACUGGUGCUGGAACGGGUGGCGGUGGCGGUGGCAGCAGCAAUGGUGGNNNNNNN